UGUGUGUGUGUGUGUGUGUGUGUGGGUUUUUGUGAUUUGAGAGGACAUUUCAUAUGAAUACACGCCACACUACGAGGACAUUUUUUAUUAUGAGGACAGUGCCGGUGUCCUCAUAAUUCAAGCAAUGUAGAAGUGCUUCUACAUGUGUAAGGAGCUCAAAUUCAAAUUUUCUCCAAAAGUCCAUAUAGUUCACAAUCAUCAGACUUUGUGUUAACAGUGUGUAUCGGAACUGCGCCCCUGUAGGUGGGUCUUGGUACUGGACCUCCUUAUGAAUAUUCACAUGUGUGUAUGGAAUCGCGGGUUUUGAUUGGCUGACGGGUGAGAAGUCCUCAUAAAUUCGGGUUUUGUCUAAGCGCUGUGUUUUACGCUAUUCACACAAAGGACGAUAACGAUAAAGAUAUGUUUGUAAAAUCGUUCUAAAUAUAAAGGAAUAACAAAGUCCACACCACAACAAUAAAAAUUAAAACACAGAGAAGCAAUAUCAUUGGAAUCAUUUUCUUCCACCUCCUCCACCUCCGACCGAGUCACUUCCGGCUGAGAUAAUGAGCGCGCCACUCUGAAGACACUUAAGGAAAUGGCAGCAACAUGGUCCUGGAGGGCUAAACUAAAACCAAAAGAUGAAGCUGCAUAUUUUUCAUCCAUGCUCAAAGAUAAGGAUGGAUUUGAAAUAAAAUAUAUAAAUUCAUUUAAAGGUUUGUUCUGAGACUGAACAACAGGAGCAUGCUUUGGUCAGCUGUGCA